rnacentral:rRNA from 1 species
AAUAAACGUUGGCGGUGCGCCUUAUGCAUGCAAGUCGAACGGGGUUAUGGUCUUCGGAUUGUAACCUAGUGGCGAACGGCUGAGUAACACGUAAGUAACCCACCUUGGAGUGAGAAAUAACUUGCCGAAAGGCGAGGUAAUGUCUCAUGUGGUAGUGGAGCGUAAGUUUCAUUACUAAAGCUUUCGGGCGCCCCAAGAGGGGCUCGCGUCUGAUUAGCUAGUUGGUAGGGUAAUGGCCUACCAAGGCGAUGAUCAGUAGCUGGUCUGAGAGGAUGGCCAGCCAGAUGGGGACUGGGACACGGCCCCAACUCCUACGGGUGGCAG